GACGAACGCUGGCGGCGUGCUUAACACAUGCAAGUCGAACGGUGAUGGGUGGAGCUUGCUCUGCUUUGAUCAGUGGCGAACGGGUGAGUAACACGUGAGUAACCUGCCCCAGACUCUGGAAUAACCCCGGGAAACCGGUGCUAAUACCGGAUAUGACACAGAAUCGCAUGGUUUCUGUGUGGAAAGUUUUUCGGUUUGGGAUGGACUCGCGGCCUAUCAGCUUGUUGGUGAGGUAAUGGCUCACCAAGGCGACGACGGGUAGCCGGCCUGAGAGGGCGAGCGGCCACACUGGGACUGGGACACGGCCCAGACUCCUACGGGAGGCAGCGGUGGGGAAUAUUGCACAAUGGGCGCAAGCCUGAUGCAGCGACGCCGCGUGAGGGAUGAAGGCCUUCGGGUUGUAAACCUCUUUCAGCUCUGAAGAAGCGAAAGUGACGGUAGGAGCAGAAGAAGCACCGGCUAACUACGUGCCAGCCGCCGCCGUAAUAC
rnacentral:rRNA from 1 species